rnacentral:rRNA from 1 species
GGUAGUCCACGCCGUAAACGAUGUCGACUUGGAGGUUGUGCCCUUGAGGCGUGGCUUCCGGAGCUAACGCGUUAAGUCGACCGCCUGGGGAGUACGGCCGCAAGGUUAAAACUCAAAUGAAUUGACGGGGGCCCGCACAAGCGGUGGAGCAUGUGGUUUAAUUCGAUGCAACGCGAAGAACCUUACCUGGUCUUGACAUCCACAGAACUUUCCAGAGAUGGAUUGGUGCCUUCGGGAACUGUGAGACAGGUGCUGCAUGGCUGUCGUCAGCUCGUGUUGUGAAAUGUUGGGUUAAGUCCCGCAACGAGCGCAACCCUUAUCCUUUGUUGCCAGCGGUUAGGCCGGGAACUCAAAGGAGACUGCCAGUGAUAAACUGGAGGAAGGUGGGGAUGACGUCAAGUCAUCAUGGCCCUUACGACCAGGGCUACACACGUGCUACAAUGGCGCAUACAAAGAGAAGCAAACUCGCGAGAGCCAGCGGACCUCAUAAAGUGCGUCGUAGUCCGGAUUGGAGUCUGCAACUCGACUCCAUGAAGUCGGAAUCGCUAGUAAUCGUGAAUCAGAAUGUCACGGUGAAUACGUUCCCGGGCCUUGUACACACCGCCCGUCACACCAUGGGAGUGGGUUGCAAAAGAAGUAGGUAGCUUAACCUUCGGGAGGGCGCUUACCACUUUGUGAUUCAUGACUGGGGUGAAGUCGUAACAAGGUAACC